AGACCCGAAACCCGGUGAUCUAGCCAUGGGCAGGUUGAAGGUUGGGUAACACUAACUGGAGGACCGAACCGACUAAUGUUGAAAAAUUAGCGGAUGACCUGUGGCUGGGGGUGAAAGGCCAAUCAAACCGGGAGAUAGCUGGUUCUCCCCGAAAGCUAUUUAGGUAGCGCCUCGUGAAUUCAUCUCCGGGGGUAGAGCACUGUUUCGGCUAGGGGGCCAUCCCGGCUUACCAACCCGAUGCAAACUGCGAAUACCGGAGAAUGUUAUCACGGGAGACACACGGCGGGUGCUAACGUCCGUCGUGAAGAGGGAAACAACCCAGACCGCCAGCUAAGGUCCCAAAGUCAUGGUUAAGUGGGAAACGAUGUGGGAAGGCCCAGACAGCCAGGAUGUUGGCUUAGAAGCAGCCAUCAUUUAAAGAAAGCGUAAUAGCUCACUGGUCGAGUCGGCCUGCGCGGAAGAUGUAACGGGGCUAAACCAUGCACCGAAGCUGCGGCAGCGACGCUUAUGCGUUGUUGGGUAGGGGAGCGUUCUGUAAGCCUGUGAAGGUGUGUCGUGAGGCAUGCUGGAGGUAUCAGAAGUGCGAAUGCUGACAUAAGUAACGAUAAAGCGGGUGAAAAGCCCGCUCGCCGGAAGACCAAGGGUUCCUGUCCAACGUUAAUCGGGGCAGGGUGAGUCGACCCCUAAGGCGAGGCCGAAAGGCGUAGUCGAUGGGAAACGGGUUAAUAUUCCCGUACUUGGUGUUACUGCGAAGGGGGGACGGAGAAGGCUAUGUUGGCCGGGCGACGGUUGUCCCGGUUUAAGCGUGUAGGUGUGUGUUCCAGGUAAAUCCGGUUCACUUUAACACUGAGGCGUGA
rnacentral:rRNA from 1 species